rnacentral:rRNA from 1 species
CGGGUGAGUAAUACAUAAGUAACCUGCCCUAGACAGGGGGAUAACUAUUGGAAACGAUAGCUAAGACCGCAUAGGUACGGACACUGCAUGGUGACCGUAUUAAAAGUGCCUCAAAGCACUGGUAGAGGAUGGACUUAUGGCGCAUUAGCCGGUUGGCGGGGUAACGGCCCACCAAGGCGACGAUGCGUAGCCGACCUGAGAGGGUGACCGGCCACACUGGGACUGAGACACGGCCCAG